UAGAGUUUUUAGUUAUUAUAUUGAAUUACUCAUGCAAUAAUAUUUAUGUAACAUCUAUGCUUUCAUGUUUACUUAUAGCUUUACAAGGUCGCAAAGCUUCAGAAAGUGAAAAGAUUGAUGGACCAAUUGAUGUUGAUGAAGGGCAAGUGACCAAGAGUCCAAGACUACACCAAAGACCCGUAGAUAUGAAGUUGAAGAUGUUACUGCUAGUGUUGCAGGUUCGCAAUGCACACCUGCAAACUGUCCUGUGAACAUGAGAGAAGAUAUUUAUAUCUCGAGUAACUCUUUGCGUCUUUUUCUUCGAACUAUGAGAAUGAGCGAGUUGGUAUUGCUUUCAAAUGAUAAUGGCUUGAUUCAAUUGAGUUCUCCAUCAGCUUCUGCCUCUUCUUAUGUAGAGU